CCUACGGGCGGCAGCAGUGAGGAAUAUUGGUCAAUGGACGAGAGUCUGAACCAGCCAAGUAGCGUGAAGGAUGACUGCCCUAUGGGUUGUAAACUUCUUUUAUAUGGGAAUAAAAUGUUCCACGUGUGGGAUUUUGUAUGUACCAUAUGAAUAAGGAUCGGCUAACUCCGUGCCAGCAGCCGCGGUAAUACGGAGGAUCCGAGCGUUAUCCGGCUUUAUUGGGUUUAAAGGGAGCGUAGGUGGAUUGUUAAGUCAGUUGUGAAAGUUUGCGGCUCAACCGUAAAAUUGCAGUUGAAACUGGCAGUCUUGAGUACAGUAGAGGUGGGCGGAAUUCGUGGUGUAGCGGUGAAAUGCUUAGAUAUCACGAAGAACUCCGAUUGCGAAGGCAGUUCACUGGACUGCAACUGACACUGAGGCUCGAAAGUGUGGGUAUCAAACAGGAUUAGAUACCCUAGUAGUC
rnacentral:rRNA from 1 species